AUUGAACGCUGGCGGCAGGCCUAACACAUGCAAGUCGAGCGAGCGGCGGACGGGUGAGUAAUGUCUGGGAAACUGCCUGAUGGAGGGGGAUAACUACUGGAAACGGUAGCUAAUACCGCAUACCAUCAGAUGUGCCCAGUGGGGAUUAGCUAGUAGGUGGGGGAACGGCGCACCUAGGCGACGAUCCCUACCUGGUCUGAGAGGCUGACCAGCCACACGGGAACUGAGACACGGUCCAGACUCCUACGGGAGGCAGCAGUGGGGAAUAUUGGACAAUGGGCGAAAGCCUGAUGCAGCCAUGCCGCGUGUGUGAAGAAGGCCUUCGGGUUGUAAAGCACUUUCAGCGGGGAGGCGGUACCCGCAGAAGAAGCACCGGCUAACUCCGUGCCAGCAGCCGCGGUAAUAC
rnacentral:rRNA from 1 species